rnacentral:rRNA from 1 species
CUGGCUCAGAUUGAACGCUGGCGGCAGGCCUAACACAUGCAAGUCGAACGGUAGCAGGAAGUGCUUGCACAUCGCUGACGAGUGGCGGACGGGUGAGUAAUGCUUGGGAACUUGCCUUUGCGAGGGGGAUAACAGUUGGAAACGACUGCUAAUACCGCAUAACGUCUACGGACCAAACGGGGCUUAGGCUCCGGCGCAGAGAGAGGCCCAAGUGAGAUUAGCUAGUUGGUGAGGUAAAGGCUCACCAAGGCGACGAUCUCUAGCUGUUCUGAGAGGAAGAUCAGCCACACUGGGACUGAGACACGGCCCAGACUCCUACGGGAGGCAGCAGUGGGGAAUAUUGCACAAUGGGGGAAACCCUGAUGCAGCCAUGCCGCGUGUGUGAAGAAGGCCUUCGGGUUGUAAAGCACUUUCAGUUGUGAGGAAAAGUGAGUAGUUAAUACCUGCUC